UGCUCACUUUGUUUGACAUGGACCAGUCAGUUUAAUGAGGUUGUAGAGUAGUUCAUUGUUGAGAAAAGUUGCAGAAAACUUCAGAAUCCAUUAGAUAACAUGGCACACCCUUCUUUUAAAACUGUAUGUAAAGGCACAGCACUUCUGUUCUUUGUCAUUCUUCUGGAAUUGACUGCACAAACUCAUACAGAUAUCACAUCACUCCCCGUCAUUUCAAACAUUUCUUCAACUAAGUUUGAAACAUCUCCUCAAACUCCUCCUACAA